GACGAACGCUGGCGGCGUGCUUAACACAUGCAAGUCGAACGGAGAGGCCCUGCUUUGGUGUGGUGCUCUAGUGGCGAACGGGUGAGUAACACGUGAGUAACCUGCCCUUGACUUUGGGAUAACUGCAGGAAACUGGGGCUAAUACCGGAUAUGAGCUCCUGCUGCAUGGUGUGUGGUGGAAAGGUUCGGCGGUUGGGGAUGGACUCGCGGCUUAUCAGCUUGUUGGUGGGGUAGUGGCUUACCAAGGCUUUGACGGGUAGCCGGCCUGAGAGGGUGACCGGCCACAUUGGGACUGAGAUACGGCCCAGACUCCUACGGGAGGCAGCAGUGGGGAAUAUUGCACAAUGGGCGGAAGCCUGAUGCAGCAACGCCGCGUGCGGGAUGACGGCCUUCGGGUUGUAAACCGCUUUCGCCUGUGACGAAGCGUGAGUGACGGUAAUGGGUAAAGAAGCACCGGCUAACUACGUG
rnacentral:rRNA from 1 species